CUACGGGCGGCACCAGUGGGGAAUAUUGCACAAUGGGGGGAACCCUGAUGCAGCAACGCCGCGUGGAGGAUGACGCAUUUCGGUGUGUAAACUCAUUUUAUAUGUCAAGAAAAUGACGGUAGCAUAUGAAUAAGCACCGGCUAACUCCGUGCCAGCAGCCGCGGUAAUACGGAGGGUGCAAGCGUUACUCGGAAUCACUGGGCGUAAAGGACGCGUAGGCGGGUUGGAAAGUCAGGUGUGAAAUCCUACAGCUUAACUGUAGAACUGCACUUGAAACUUCUAAUCUAGAGUAUGGGAGGGGGAGAUGGAAUUAGUGGUGUAGGGGUAAAAUCCGUAGAUAUCACUAGGAAUACCUAAAGCGAAGGCGAUCUCCUGGAACAUUACUGACGCUAAGGCGUGAAAGCGUGGGGAGCAAACAGGAUCAGAUACCCCCGUAGUC
rnacentral:rRNA from 1 species